AGUGAACGCUGGCGGUAGGCCUAACACAUGCAAGUCGAACGGCAGCACAGGAGAGCUUGCUCUCUGGGUGGCGAGUGGCGGACGGGUGAGGAAUACAUCGGAAUCUACUCUGUCGUGGGGGAUAACGUAGGGAAACUUACGCUAAUACCGCAUACGACCUACGGGUGAAAGCAGGGGACCUCCGCGCCUUGCGCGAUUGGAGGAGCCGAUGUCGGGUUAGCUAGUUGGCGGGGUAAAGGCCCACCAAGGCGACUAUCCGUAGCUGGUCUGAGAGGAUGUUCAGCCACACUUGACCUGAGACACGGUCCAGACUCCUACGGGAGGCAGCAGUGGGGAAUAGUGGACAAUGGGCGCAAGCCUGAUCCAGCCAUACCGCGUGGGUGAAGAAGGCCUUCGGGUUGUAAAGCCCUUUUGUUGGGAAAGAAAUCCAGCUGGCUAAUACCCGGUUGGGAUGACGGUACCCAAAGAAUAAGCACCGGCUAACUUCGUGCCAGCCGCCGCGGUAA
rnacentral:rRNA from 1 species